UACACUCUCACAAACAAACGAAUUUAACGUUCUUCAACCCACUCUUAGAUUCUUCUUCUUCCUCCCUUCUCCUCUUGCUCUCAAAUUUUCAAAUUUUUGCUCUCAAAUUUUCAAAUUUUCAAUCAUUCCUAUCGCUCUCGAUAUGAUAUCAUCAAGAAUAACAAAAAAUCUGGAUACAGAAACCUUUUAUUUCCUCUCCCACAAAGUACGCGAGUUCUGAAAACCCUAACUACCCAAAUCGAUUUCUGUUCCGAUCCACUCUCAUGAAGCCUUCUCGCGAUGUCUGUUCUGGAAACUGGAUCCACUCUCAUGAAACCUUCUCGCGAUGUCUGUUCUGAAACCUUUUACUACCCAAAUCGAUUUCUGUUCCGAUCAAUCGCGAUGACAGCGUUGUUGUUUUCCCUAUUUUAGAUUUCGAAACCCUAAUUUAAAAUUUCAAUUCUUGAAAAUUUCUCCUAACUUUCUUUCUUCCAUUUCUUCAAAAUUUUAAUUUUUAGAUUUUGAAACCCUAAUUUUUACUUUGGGUUUGAUUUGUUUUUGUUUUAGGCGCCGGAGACGACGUGGCAGCAUCAUUUGUAUGGAGAGAUCAACAUGUGGCUGUGGCGGCGGCGUUUCCUGCCCAAGGUGGUCGUGCUUCCUGCCCAAGGUGGUCGUGCGGCUUCCAUAGAAUCUGGAACCAAGCUCUAUAUAUCUAAUUUGGAUCAUGGUGUUUCCAAUGAUGAUAUAAAGAUAUAUCUAUAAAUGCUGAAAAUCUUUGCAUGAUAAGUUUUGAGAUGGUCAGGAUAAACCAGAGGUUCAACGAGAACAUAAAUAUGAGGUGUUGAUAUUAUUGGGUGAUGCAAGCAGUGCACUUGGACAUAUGAGCAAAGGUGUAGCUGCAUUGUCUAUGGAUAAGUUCAUUCAAAGUCGACAGAGACAGGAAAACAAAUGUGUGGAGGAUUUUGGUGACGUUGUUAGAGAGUGAGGUGGAGCAUUAAUUAUGUUAGGCACCUUUCUUAAUCCCAGAUCAAAGAAAAUGUUAUCUGGCAUAAGUCAACGUCAUGAUGUUCCAGAUGAGAAUAAUGUGCUGCUUGCCGUCACCGACGAAGGGUAAAAGGAAACGGGAAGAUAGAGCAUGGUCAAGAUUUCCCAAAAAUUAUAAGAGAUAGAAUUUGUUAUCGAAUAAUCAGUGACUAAACCCGUUCCUGGGAGUCAAGGAGAGCAUGGUGUUAUUGGAUCGGCGAGAAGAAUUCCUUUAAAAGAUAUUGCUAACGUUGGUUCUUCAUCUUUAAAAAAAACAGCAAAAUCAUCAGCAACAACAAGUUCGUUGAAGGCAGGGAAAUAUACAGUACGUAAUGGUACAUUUAUUAAUCGCGCAAGAUGUUCACUAAGAGCUUCGUUUAGGCGGAAUGUGGAAUCUAUCAAACCACGUCAUAUUGCAUUCCAAGUGCUGCUGCAAACAUGGCCAACCAACCUAACUUUGCCCGGGAUACUUGGAAAGAUACAGAUGACUGGAAACGAUAAAGACCAGAGAUAAAUGGCCACUUCUGAUUUGGUUAAUUAGUUGACCAAACCCACUUUUAGGGCCGAUCCUGAUCUCGAACUUAAAUUGAAAAAUAUCAUCAUACAACAACUAGACAUGCUGCUAGUGAUGUUUCUGGGACUUGCUGUCAAAUGCCUUGCUCCGUUAGUCAGGAAGAUGAAUGAGCCUUGCACCGUUAGUCAUCAUGCCUAUUGAAAUGUUUCAGAUGACAAUGGAAGUUACACAGAUCCAAUUAAAUGCCCAAGCAGUGGAUGGUGCUGUGAGGAAACAAGCUGAAGAUAACUUGAAACAAUUCCAGAUACCAGCAGCAGCGAAGACACAAUGAUGGUACUGAAGAUGCUGGCCUUGUUGGUCAUAUAUUCAUCUAAAUGAGUUCAAAUUUUGGCGUUCCUCUGGUGGUCUAUUCCAAAGGAAAAACUAUCAAUGCGAAGGAGGUGCUAGCUGCUGGUCCUCGGCCUCAACCUAUAAUGGAAACAGUUUUAAUUACUCUGAUGCAUGUUGGAUUACAUAGUGAGAAGGUGGAGUUAGAGGCUGUUUUUAUGAUAUGCGUGGU